GAUGAACGCUGGCGGCGUGCCUAAUACAUACCAGUCGAGCGAACGGACGAGAAGCUUGCUUCUCUGAUGUUAGCGGCGGACGGGUGAGUAACACGUGGAUAACCUACCUAUAAGACUGGGAUAACUUCGGGAAACCGGAGCUAAUACCGGAUAAUAUUUUGAACCGCAUGGUUCAAAAGUGAAAGACGGUCUUGCUGUCACUUAUAGAUGGAUCCGCGCUGCAUUAGCUAGUUGGUAAGGUAACGGCUUACCAAGGCAACGAUGCAUAGCCGACCUGAGAGGGUGAUCGGCCACACUGGAACUGAGACACGGUCCAGACUCCUACGGGAGGCAGCAGUAGGGAAUCUUCCGCAAUGGGCGAAAGCCUGACGGAGCAACGCCGCGUGAGUGAUGAAGGUCUUCGGAUCGUAAAACUCUGUUAUUAGGGAAGAACAUAUGUGUAAGUAACUGUGCACAUCUUGACGGUACCUAAUCAGAAAGCCACGGCUAACUACGUG
rnacentral:rRNA from 1 species